rnacentral:rRNA from 1 species
GAUGAACGCUGGCGGCGUGCCUAAUACAUGCAAGUCGAGCGAACAGACGAGGAGCUUGCUCCUCUGACGUUAGCGGCGGACGGGUGAGUAACACGUGGAUAACCUACCUAUAAGACUGGGAUAACUUCGGGAAACCGGAGCUAAUACCGGAUAAUAUAUUGAACCGCAUGGUUCAAUAGUGAAAGACGGUUUUGCUGUCACUUAUAGAUGGAUCCGCGCCGCAUUAGCUAGUUGGUAAGGUAACGGCUUACCAAGGCAACGAUGCGUAGCCGACCUGAGAGGGUGAUCGGCCGCACUGGAACUGAGACACGGUCCAGCCUCCUACGGGAGGCAGCAGUGGGGAAUCUUCCGCAAUGGGCGAAAGCCUGACGGAGCAACGCCGCGUGAGUGAUGAAGGUCUUCGGAUCUUAAAACUCUGUUAUUAGGGAAGAACAAAUGUGUAAGUAACUAUGCACGUCUUGACGGUACCUAAUCAGAAAGCCACGGCUAACUACGUG